rnacentral:rRNA from 1 species
UACGUAGGGUGCAAGCGUUGUCCGGAAUUAUUGGGCGUAAAGAGCUCGUAGGCGGUCAGUCGCGUCUGCUGUGAAAACUCGGGCUAACUCCGGCCUGCAGUGGGUACGGGCUGACUAGAGUGCGGUAGGGGAGACUGGAAUUCCUGGUGUAGCGGUGAAAUGCGCAGAUAUCAGGAGGAACACCGGUGGCGAAGGCGGGUCUCUGGGCCGUAACUGACGCUGAGGAGCGAAAGCGUGGGGAGCGAACAGG